CGCUGUGUUGACACGCUCUGCACCCUGCUCCUGCCCUCGCCUUUCACUCUUCUUAUCCCCCUGAUACCCCGAUCAUUCCUGACAGCUCCUGAGUGCCUGGAUUUCAUCAUCCAGCCCUGCAGGAUGCUCCCCUUUGUCCUGAGGAAGGCUGUCCCAGACGGAGAGGAGGAGAUGGAGGUGGAUACAAAGAUUGAUAUGGAUGAGGAGAUGGAAAUUGACGGAGAAGACUCUGGAGAGGAAGAGAUGGACGUGGAUGUGGAUGAGGAAGAGGAGAUGGAUGUUGGUAUGGAAGGACAUGGACAUUGAUUGAAAAGGAACAGUGGACAUCACAGACAAGGACACCUACAAUCAAUAAAAGGCUUUUUUCCAUUUUCUCAAGCCACGCGUUGGGCGCCACUAACUGUAUUUGUCCUGGUUUAGGGCAAGUUUGGGAGAUAACCCCCAAAGGGGCUUCUCUACAAAAGCAGAUUCAAUUGCCCCUCCCCCCUCCAACCAGUUCGGGAGAAAAUAUCUCCUUGCAGAAAAAUGGAAAGAAACCUGUUUAUUAAACAAUAGAAACCAAACAAUAUUAAGCAAUAAAACUUCUCACUGAUCCAAGGAAAGCAAACUCAGAACAGUCCCCUCCCCGGGUUGCAGCUUGGCUCACUCAGUCUCUGAUCAGUCUCUCUGGUGCUGGAAAUGCUGCUGCCCAGGCCCGGCCAGGGGCCACAGGUGGAGCUGCCGGUGCUCUUCUGGGUGUUCAGUGCAGAGCAGGCUUGAACAGGUCCAAGAAAAAAGGAAAAAAUCACAAUCCGGAGAACUUCUUUGCCUCAGCUGGCUAAAACUAACUAAAAGCAAGAAAAAGGGAAAAAAGGAGCUCUGUCCGGCUGUCUGUCCAUCCGCAGACAACACAGUCCAGGAGCAGGAAUGUGGAGGAGUGAGAGCAGUCUGAAAACAAACUGCGCGCUUCUUCCCUGCCCUCUCCAC